ensembl:lncRNA
GCGGGGGCUAAUGUUUGAGAAUUCAGCUGGUUGGCAGGCCGGAAGAGCCUUCGUACUCCGGUGGGAGCGACUUGAGCCAAUGCUCAACGGGAGCUGUUCACAGUGUUGGAACGGAUAAGCCCUACCAGCCGCUGGGGGAGGAGCAAGCGUGAUUAGGAUAUAGGAUAUAUUGAUAUAGCCCGAUCAGGAGGGUCCGGGUUGUCUUGACUGGAAUAGGUCACAGUGUCAGCAUACGGGGCCCUACUGGCUGACGAGCCCCUGCUGAUCAGUGGGCAGAGGGCAAAUGCCUGACUGAGAGGGCCCAUGAAGCCUCCAACUGGAGAUCAAGACUCAGGACGAUGGAUGUGUGGGUCCUCUCGGUUUGCCAACCAGCUGACAUCUGAUGGUAGAUAAAGACUCACUGCAUCAGAUGGGUAAGCCUCGCCAGGCGGGGAGAGAGAAAAGAAAAACCCGUCUGGGAGGGCUCUCGCAGCAUCGGAUGGUCAACCAUCAAACGGAAAGGUACAGUUAUUUGGCCGGGAGACUCUUGUCGACAUCUGAUGGGAGCUCAAUACUCACGACAUCGAAUGGGUAAGCCUCGCCGACCGUAGGAUGGAAAAGGUAAGGUUUUUUUUUUUGGGAGUCGUCUAAAAAGUGGUUUGUGGGGGAAUUUAGCCCCUGAGAAUUUCUAAGGCGGAGGUACUCGAAGAUGGACUGGUAUGGUUGGAUUAGAGAAGAAAAGUCAGGUAGUCUAGCCGGGAGGCUCUCGCCGAUGUCAUACAGGAGCUCAGUACUUAGGGCAUCAAAUGGGUAAGCCUCACCGACCAUAGCAUGGAAAAGGUAAAGUUGUCUGGCCGGGAGAAUCUCGCCAACAUCCGACAGGAGCUCAAUACUCACGGCAUGGACAGGUAAGCUUCGCCAGUAGUCAGACACAAAAGGCAAGGUUUGCUCAAGCGGGAGGCUCGUGCGGCAUCUGACUGGAGUUCAAUACUCACAGCAUCAGAUGGGUGUGCCUUGCCGGUAGUCGAAAGAGAAAAAUAUUUGCUCCACAGGAAGCACUCUUGCAGCACCUGACAG